rnacentral:sRNA from 1 species
UUAGAAACAAGGUCGACUAAGAACGCAACGUCCUGUUGCAACGUCGACACUAGCACGUCCUGUGCG